rnacentral:lncRNA from 1 species
GAGAAAUUAAAGUGCGUAAGAUUGAAAUCAUUGAAUAUCAUAUCAUAGUUCUUAAGUUGUUGGAAAGAAGAAUUUACAACAAUUGUUGACAGAUACUAAGCAAGAAACACGAGUGAAACUUUCUUCGACCACUUCACUUGGUUGAAGGGCUCUUCUAUGAUCAUCUGGUAAUAUUCUUGAUAUUGGAAAAAUUACAGCAAUGGAAUGAGCUUUUUGAGUAAUGAUAUAUAUCACGACUGAUGCGAAAAUAGGCCUCGUGGAAUUCGUGGCUCCAUCUCAACACCUUCACUCGAGCCUUGAUCGCUACUGGAGUCAUCAUUUUUCAGCAGCAGCCGGAUCCAAUGACACAGCAGACGAAGAGCCACAAGAAUGCCAAUGACUAUCAACGCCGAAAUAAGGUAGGAUUCGACAGAAGAAUUCUUGCACUGAAACAAGAAUCCCAGUAGGCAAACCAUGGUUAAAACUACUACUAAUCAAGAAGAAAAAUACUUGGAAUUUGUUUACUUGGAUUCAUGAUAUAAUGUGGUCUCCUGCUUGACAAGAAUGGUAUGGAAUUGAUGUUUAACAAAGAGAAGAGGGACAAGGCUAAAGCAAA